AAAUAAACUGUGAGAAAACAGAA
rnacentral:snRNA from 1 species